rnacentral:rRNA from 1 species
GCAAGUCGCACGAGAACGCUUCAGCUUGCUGAGGCUAGUAAAGUGGCGCACGGGUGAGUAACGCGUGGGUAAUCUCCCCCUGAAUUGGGGAUAACAUUGCGAAAGCGAUGCUAAUACCGGAUAAUAUCUUUAGUACUUCGGUACGUAAGAUCAAAGGUGGCCUCUACAUGUAAGCUACUGUUUGGGGAUGAGCCCGCGUACCAUUAGCUUGUUGGUAGGGUAACGGCCUACCAAGGCAGCGAUGGUUAGCUGGUCUGAGAGGAUGACC